AUCGCAUGUCUUCGUUCGGAGCCG
rnacentral:siRNA from 1 species